rnacentral:rRNA from 1 species
GAUGAACGCUGGCGGCGUGCCUAAUACAUGCAAGUCGAGCGAACAGACGAGGAGUUUGCUCCUCUGACGUUAGCGGCGGACGGGUGAGUAACACGUGGAUAACCUACCUAUAAGACUGGGAUAACCUCGGGAAACCGGAGCUAAUACCGGAUAAUAUAUUGAACCACAUUUUUCAAUAGUGAAAGACGGUUUUGCUGUCACUUAUAGAUGGAUCCGCGCCGCAUUAGGUAGGUGGUAAGGUAACGGAUUACCAAGGCAACGAUGCGUAUCAGAGCUGAGAGGGUAGUAAGCCACCCUAGAAGUGAAACACGGUCCGGGCCCCUACGGGACGGAAGGCUAGGGAAAGGUACGCGAUGGGAGGAGGGCUGGCCGGAGCAAGCCGUGUCGGGUGCAGAAGGAUUGGGAUAGGAAAAGUAAGCUGUUUGGGAAAGACAAAAGUGAAAGUGACUAUGCACGUCUUGACGGUACCUAAUCAGAAAGCAACGGCUAACUACGUG